GAGCGUGUUUUGAAAGCUACCCGAACCCCUCCGGUCUUUUCCGAAAGAGGAAGGAUUCAUGUUCAUUGUGUGUUUGUCACAUCGAAAUCGGCCCAGUGGUUGAGAAGCUACGUCACAACCAACAUUUCAACGCCGUGUUUCUCCUUGAAGUUUACGAUCUUAUGUUUUGUGACAUCAUAUUGGACCAUAUGCCAAGGAAGCUGGUAUCUACCGGAGGCACUUCGCUCAGGAUGGACAAAGCUUUCCAGUGCAAACCCAUAUCAAGAAUGUUAGUAUACUAAAACUAAAAUCACAGGUGUGAUAGGAGUCAAAGCUCUGUGAUAUGAAAGUGACAGUUGGCAUUGCACCCAAAGGGCUGUAAAAAUCCACAACUCUCUUUACUUACUGCAAAUAUUUGCGGAAUUCCUUAAGGUUGUCUUGUUCCAAUUUUUUCUCAAAUUAAAGGUAAUAUGCAAAUCAUUUUCAUUUAAUUAAACUUUCAUCUGUAGUUUUUAAGGAGUACAGGGUAUGUCAAAUACAUUAGGAGUAUACCGUACACGUGGCAUUGAUCCUCAACAAUCCCAAUAAUUGGUGCUGUACUGUUGAAAAACAUGAAUAAUUAUUUAUGCAAAUUGAUCAAUUUUACGCAUUGCAUAUAUUGAUUAAUUAAUUAGAAAAUGGCUUUAUUUAAGAUGAGACAAACAGUAAUGUUUACCAACAUAUGUGUAACCACCACAUCAGAAAUUUAAUCGAAGUAUAUAGCUGCCAGGAGUCAGGACAUCUCGUUUAUUGACAUUUAUAUCAAUUAAAUAUGCAAAUCAGGUAUACAUUUGUAUUUUAAAUGUGGAAAUUUGUAGUAGUGAUGUGCAAAUUUGUAAGAAUGCCAAGUUUGACAGAAAUAAAAUGUGUCCUUCCAAUGUAACAGAAGAAAAACCUUGGUUAAGUGAGCUUUUCCUGGUGCCAUUUACUUUAUAAAGAAAAACAAAGGGUGACCUUUGACCUGGGAGUCAAUAUUAGACAGUUGUUUUGCGAUAUUCAAAUGGAUGUAUCUUGAGAACCGCUUGACCGUUUGGAAUUAUUUUUUCCCUGUUAAACUCCUGAAGAUAUGCUCUUUCAUAUCUGCUAUAAAUUGACUGUGUACUGAAAUAAUUUGGAAAUCAUCUGAAAUGCCUAAUCUAAGCUGCUUAAAAUACAUUCCUCCUACUCAAGCCUCUAGACCCAUACCUGUCA